rnacentral:rRNA from 1 species
AACGAACGCUGGCGGCGUGCCUAACACAUGCAAGUCGAACGGGAUUCGGAGCUUGCUCCGAUGAGAGUGGCGCACGGGUGAGUAACGCGUAGAUAAUCUGCCUGAUGAUCUGGGAUAACAGUUCGAAAGGACUGCUAAUACCGGAUAAGCCCACGGAGACCUUGGUCUUUGCGGGAAAAGGGGGGGACCUUCGGGCCUUCCGUCAUCAGAUGAGUCUGCGUACCAUUAGCUAGUUGGUAGGGUAAAGGCCUACCAAGGCGACGAUGGUUAGCUGGUCUGAGAGGAUGAUCAGCCACACUGGAACUGAGACACGGUCCAGACUCCUACGGGAGGCAGCAGUGGGGAAUCUUGCGCAAUGGGCGAAAGCCUGACGCAGCAACGCCGCGUGUGUGAUGAAGGUCUUCGGAUCGUAAAGCACUGUCGGGAGGAAAGAACAAGCCUGUGGCUAACAUCCACGGGCCUUGACGGUACCUCCAAAGGAAGCACCGGCUAACUCUGUGCCAGCCGCCGCCGUAACAC